rnacentral:tRNA from 1 species
GCCGACGUAGCCCAAUUGGCAGAGGCACGGUCUUUAGGUGGCCGGCAGUGUGGGUUCGAGUCCCAUCGUCGGCACCG